AAAAAAAAAAAAAAGAAAGAAAAGGAAGCCAGAUUCUUGCUAUACCAUUUAUAAACAAUAACUUGAAAUUUGAUGGGCAUAAUUUACUAUUUAAUUCUAUAUGUAUAAUUUGAUCAUGACCAUAUGCGUGUGUGUAUAUAUAUAUAUUAUGAUAAUUUAAAUCAUGAUACAUGAGAGAAAAUGGUGAAAAUGACAUAAACUAGGUAGUAAAAAAAAAUUUUUAAAAAAAUAAAAAAUAAGAUUUUUUUUAUUUAGAUCUAGUUUAUUACAAAUUUAAAAUAUAAAAUAUAUUUUGAAACUUACUUAUUAAAUAUGUAGGUUUCACAUAUUUAUGUCUUGAGCCAUAAUCAAUUGGAUUUAGGCGAGAAUUUAUCUGAAGAACUAUUUUUACCAAUUAACUAAAAGAAUACUAAUAUCCCAAAUAGUAUAAUAAAAAGAAAUCUGUGAAACAAAAAUGAAAACUAAGAAAAAUCUAUUUUUAGUAAUUAUAUAAUAAGAAACAAUUCAUCUCCAUUUUAAAAAGAAAAAAUUAUUGAUGACGGCUGUCCUUCUACAAUUUCAGCUAUACUAAGUGAUGAAUAUAUUUGUUUUCCAAGCGAUUAAAUGUAAUAAUAAUGAAGAUUUUGCAUGCAAGAGAAGAAGAAAAAAGAAACCUAUUGCCAAGUAACUUAUGGAGCCGAAUGAUAAGGUCAUCUUCUUCCUCCGAGAAAUUGUCACGCUUAAUGCUAGGACUAAGAUAAUUCAUCCAUCUUAAUCUGCAGCUCUUGCCGCAUCUCUUCAGUCCUAAACAACAUGGAGAAACACACACUCAUAAAUACACACAAAGGAAGAGAAAGGUAUGUAUAGGAAAACUAGCUAGCUAAUUAAUAAUAAACCUGUCGCUCUUGCUACACGAUUCCACUUCCCUUUGCCAUGAACCUUUAUGUAAUCCAUUAAAAUUCUGUCCUCCUCCACUGUCCACAACCCUUUCUUAUAUUCAGUAGAACUGUUCCCUCCUUCCAUUAAUUGACCUUAGUGUGUAAUAUCUUUAAUUUACUAUGAGCAGAGACUGGGAUAAAAGAAGUUUGUGGAGCUUUCAGUUGAGUAGGCGUCUGUAGCAGAGGGGUGUAUUUAUAGGAGUGAAAAGGGAAUAGUCGGUGGAGAGAGAUAGAGUGUGUGUGAUUGUGGGCUGAGGCUUAUGAAAUGCUGAGUUUUAGACUUGUAGAAA
rnacentral:misc_RNA from 1 species